rnacentral:rRNA from 1 species
CCUACGGGAGGCAGCAGUGAGGAAUAUUGGUCAAUGGGCGUAAGCCUGAACCAGCCAAGUCGCGUGAGGGAUGAAGGUUCUAUGGAUCGUAAACCUCUUUUAUAAGGGAAUAAAGUGCGGGACGUGUCCCGUUUUGUAUGUACCUUAUGAAUAAGGAUCGGUUAACUCCGUGCCAGCAGCCGCGGUCAUACGGAGGACCCGAGCGUUAUCCGGAUUUAUUGGGUUUAAAGGGUGGGUAGGCGGCCUUGUAAGUCAGAGGGGAAAGUCUGGGGCACAACCAAUGAAUUGCCGUUGAAACUGGGAGGCUUGAGUGUGUGUGAGGCAGGCGGAAUGCGUGGUGUAGCGGUGAAAUGCUUAGAUAUCAGGCAGAACCCCGAUGGCGAAGGCGGCCUGCCAAGCCAUAACUGACGCUGAUGCACGAAAGCGUGGGGAUCAAACAGGAUUAGAUACCCGGGUAGUC